UUUUUUUUUUAAAGGAAAACCAGUAUAUAUACAUAUAUAUAUAUAACAAUACAUCAUGAAAUUAGUUAAUCGUCUUGUUUCUUCUCAUUACACUGGCAUAUCGAUAUCUCAAAACUGAAUUGGAGGGUUAAAAAAAGUUUAAUGGUCCACCUGAGAUAGCCAGUGGAGACUAUAAGACGAAUGGACAAAAUGCAGGCUAUUGGAAGGGAAAAGCCUGCCAUAAAAAGAACCAGGGACUCCAGUGAAAAAGAAGCCCAGUUCCAGCUUCCAAUUGUUUUUUCAUUCUUUCUUGGAACCCUGGCAAGGACCUGAAAAUGGUGUUGAAAUCAUUCCCCGGAAGGUCAUUCAAGAACACCUGAUAUUCUGGGGAUUGACGACCCAGCCUUCCACAAAGCUUGUCCACUACUUUGAUGAGUUCAGACACUGCAGAUAGAGUGUUUGGUCCUGAAGAACAUCCCAGGUCUGCGAUGGCUAGACUCUUUGGGUAGGUGCUAGAGUAGAGAUCGGAGAUGGCUUCCUCUGUGAUAGGCUUUGUCAUGGAUAUCACUUUUUGCUGAAGCAAUGAGUUUUUAGCAUAGCUGG
rnacentral:misc_RNA from 1 species